AGUCCAUAUUUUUCUAAGAUUUCUUUUCAUUUUAAGUUUCACUGUUUAUAACACUCAUAUCCUACUAUAUUAUUUGGGAAGUACAUUUUAAAUGUAACCUUAAUUUUUGUAAGUAAUUACAUAGGUAUGCCAUUAGAAAUAAAAUUUUAAAGAGUAAAUUAAUUUAUCUCUUUAAGGAUUAAAAAGUCAAAUACUAAUUUAAUU
rnacentral:sRNA from 1 species